UACAGAGGUCUCAAGCGUUGUUCGGAUUCAUUGGGCGUAAAGGGUGCGUAGGCGGCGCGGUAAGUCGGGUGUGAAAUCUUGGAGCUUAACUCCGAAACUGCAUUCGAUACUGCGGUGCUCGAGGACUGGAGAGGAGACUGGAAUUCAUGGUGUAGCAGUGAAAUGCGUAGAGAUCAUGAGGAAGACCAGUGGCGAAGGCGGGUCUCUGGACAGUUCCUGACACUGAGGCACGAAGGCCAGGGGAGCAAACGGG
rnacentral:rRNA from 1 species